GACGAACGCUGGCGGCGUGCCUAAUACAUGCAAGUAGAACGCACAGUUUAUACCGUAGCUUGCUACACCAUAGACUGUGAGUUGCGAACGGGUGAGUAACGCGUAGGUAACCUGCCUGGUAGCGGGGGAUAACUAUUGGAAACGAUAGCUAAUACCGCAUAAUAUUAAUUAUUGCAUGAUAAUUAAUUGAAAGGUGCAAUUGCACCACUACCAGAUGGACCUGCGUUGUAUUAGCUAGUAGGUGAGGUAACGGCUCACCUAGGCGACGAUACAUAGCCGACUUGAGAGGGUGAUCGGCCACACUGGGACUGAGACACGGCCCAGACUCCUACGGGAGGCAGCAGUAGGGAAUCUUCGGCAAUGGACGAAAGUCUGACCGAGCAACGCCGCGUGAGUGAAGAAGGUUUUCGGAUCGUAAAGCUCUGUUGUAAGAGAAGAACGGGUGUGAGAGUGGAAAGUUCACACUGUGACGGUAUCUUACCAGAAAGGGACGGCUAACUACGUG
rnacentral:rRNA from 1 species